rnacentral:rRNA from 1 species
AAGUGAAACCGCGAAUGGCUCAUUACAUCAGUUAUGGUUCCUUAGAUCUCCGGUUUUCUACUCGGAUAACCCUGGAAAAUCUAUGGCUAAUACGUUAAAAAGUAGCUCCAACCCUUUGGGAAGGAGCGUUCUUGUUAGAUCAAAACCAAUCGGGGCUUCGGCUCCGUUUACUGGUGAAUCUAAACAAUUUUGAGCAGAUCGCACGGUCUUGUACUGGCGACGACUCUUUCAAAUAUCUGCCUUAUCAACUCGAUGGUAGGUUAUGUGCCUACCAUGGUUGUAACGGGUAACGGAAAAUCAGGGUUUGAUACCGGAGAGGGAGCCUGAGAAACGGCUACCACAUCCAAGGAAGGCAGCAGGCACGCAAAUUACCCAAUCCCGGCUCGGGGAGGUAGUGACGAAAAAUAACAAUACGGGACUCAUCCGAGGCCCCGUAAUUGGAAUGACUACAAUUUAAAUCCUUUAAGAAGGAUCCAUUGGAGGGCAAGUCUGGUGCCAGCAGCCGCGGUAAUUCCAGCUCCAAUAGCGUAUAUUAAAGUUGCUGCAGUUAAAAAGCUCGUAGUUGGAUCUCAGUUACAGUCAGGUGGUUCACUUUACAGUGCUACUGCUUGAACUGAACCUAUUGCUGGAUCUCUUGGGUGCCCUUCACUGGGUGCCCCUUGAGACCAGAACGUUUACUUUGAGAAAAUUAGAGUGCUCAAGCAGGCGAAUGCCUGGAUACUUGUGCAUGGAAUAAUGAAAUAUGGUCUCGGUGCUGUUUUAUUGGUUUACAGUGCUCGAGGUAAUGGUUGAAAGGGACAGACGGGGGCAUUCGUAUUGCGACGUUAGAGGUGAAAUUCUUAGAUCGUCGCAAGACGGACUACUGCGAAAGCAUUUGCCAAGAAUGUCUUCAUUAAUCAAGAACGAAAGUCA